rnacentral:rRNA from 1 species
GAUGAACGCUGGCGGCGUGCCUAACACAUGCAAGUCGAGCGAUUCUCCUCGGAGAAGAGCGGCGGACGGGUGAGUAACGCGUGGGUAACCUGCCCUGUACACACGGAUAACAUACCGAAAGGUAUGCUAAUACGAGAUAAUAUGCUUUUAUCGCAUGGUAGAAGUAUCAAAGCUCCGGCGGUACAGGAUGGACCCGCGUCUGAUUAGCUAGUUGGUAAGGUAACGGCUUACCAAGGCGACGAUCAGUAGCCGACCUGAGAGGGUGAUCGGCCACAUUGGAACUGAGACACGGUCCAAACUCCUACGGGAGGCAGCAGUGGGGAAUAUUGCACAAUGGGCGAAAGCCUGAUGCAGCAACGCCGCGUGAGCGAUGAAGGCCUUCGGGUCGUAAAGCUCUGUCCUCAAGGAAGAUAAUGACGGUACUUGAGGAGGAAGCCCCGGCUAACUACGUGCCAGCAGCCGCGGUAAUACGUAGGGGGCUAGCGUUAUCCGGAAUUACUGGGCGUAAAGGGUGCGUAGGUGGUUUCUUAAGUCAGAGGUGAAAGGCUACGGCUCAACCGUAGUAAGCCUUUGAAACUGGGAAACUUGAGUGCAGGAGAGGAGAGUGGAAUUCCUAGUGUAGCGGUGAAAUGCGUAGAUAUUAGGAGGAACACCAGUUGCGAAGGCGGCUCUCUGGACUGUAACUGACACUGAGGCACGAAAGCGUGGGGAGCAA